GCAAUAUAUAGCUCAGUUGGUUAGAGCACGGUACUGAUGAUUCCGAAGUUGCAGGUUUGAUUCCCAAAAGGGACAGCUGCA